AACAGCUCAAAUUUGAAAUCUGGCCCUUCCGGGGUCCGAGUUGUAAUUUGUAGAGAGUGCUUCGGGGGAGAGUGCGGUCUAAGUCCAUUGGAACAUGGUGUCAUAGAGGGUGAGAAUCCCGUACGUGACCGCGGAUCGAACCCGUGUGAAGCCUCUUCGACGAGUCGAGUUGUUUGGGAAUGCAGCUCAAAAUGGGUGGUAAAUUUCAUCUAAAGCUAAAUACUGGCUGGAGACCGAUAGCGCACAAGUAGAGUGAUCGAAAGAUGAAAAGCACUUUGGAAAGAGAGUUAAACAGUACGUGAAAUUGUUGAAAGGGAAGCGCUGGCAACCAGACCUGCCCGUAGGCGAUCAACCGCUGUUCUCAGCGGUGCACUCGUUCUGCGAUCAGGCCAGCAUCGGUUUCGGCGGUCGGAUAAAGGCCUUGGGAAUGUAGCUUCCUUUCGGGGGAGUCUUAUAGCCCUCGGUGCAAUGCGGCCAGCCGGGACCGAGGACCGCGCUUCGGCUAGGAUGCUGGCGUAAUGGUUGUCAGCGAC
rnacentral:rRNA from 1 species